rnacentral:rRNA from 1 species
UACGGAGGGUGCAACCGUUGCUCGGAAUUAUUGGGCGUAAAGCGUACGUAGGCGGUCCAGCAAGUCGGGUGUGAAAGCCCUCGGCUUAACCGAGGAAGUGCAUUCGAAACUACUGGACUUGAAUACUGGAGAGGAUCGCGGAAUUCCCGGUGUAGAGGUGAAAUUCGUAGAUAUCGGGAGGAACACCAGUGGCGAAGGCGGCGAUCUGGACAGAUAUUGACGCUGAUGUACGAAAGCGUGGGGAGCAAACAGG